rnacentral:rRNA from 1 species
ACUCCUACGGGAGGCAGCAGUGGGGAAUAUUGCACAAUGGGCGCAAGCCUGAUGCAGCCAUGCCGCGUGUAUGAAGAAGGCCUCCGGGUUGUAAAGUACUUUCAGCAGUGAGGAAGGUGGGGUAUGUUAAUAGCAUACUUCAUUUGACGUUAGCUGCAGAAAGAAGCACCGGGCUAACUCCGUGCCAGCAGCCGCGGUAAUACGG